rnacentral:lncRNA from 1 species
CACCACCCAACGACAUCUUCAAAAUCGAUUUCAAGAUCGAUUUCCAGAUUUGCAGAUCCAAUUUCAAAAUCGAAUUCCAAAUUUGCAGAUUUCCAAAUAAUUAGGUUUUUUGGGGGGGAGGAGAGGGCGACGCUGAUGUUGUGCGGUGGUGCGUCUGGAAAAGGUGGCGGUGGUGCUCGGCAUCAACGCCGGUGAAUGAAGAACGGGGCGGCACCGUUGUGCCGCCAUCUGCAGAGAGAGAGAGAGAGAGAGACAGACAGAGAGCAGAAACGACGUUUUUCCUUUUUUUUAAAUUUAUUUAUUUAUUUAUACUCACUCAAAACGACGUCGUUUUGAAUUCCGGUGAGUCCACGUCUGAAAAUUCCGGUGCCACGUCAACACCGAUCAAGGUGAUGGUCAACGCGUGUGCAAUUUGCAACAAAAUUAAAAGGUAAUGUAUUCUGAGGCUAUUUUUGAAGGUCAUGUGCAAUUUGCAAAUUCCGUGAUAGUUCGUGUAUUUUUCGGCUAUUAACCC